CGCGUGCGCGCGCGAUUUCUCCGCGCGCGCGGGCAGUAUCUCCUCUCGCCUGAGUUUGCUUGCUUGCAGGGAAUAUCGGAGCCCUCGCGCGGAGAAUGUCUGCUCGCUGGCUCGUGCUGCUCACUCGCGGUAAAGUUUAUUGGCAGUAAGUGGGCGGGGCCCGCGGGUUUUCUGUCAUUACACACGAUUGGCUACAGUCCCCGUCCUCUGUGAUUGGCUGUCUCACUUGGAAAAGAGGAAGACGAGGAAGCGGGAGUCGUCUCGGUGUCUCGGCCACAUGGCAGAUCAUCGGGAGGAACAGUUGCAAGUCGCUGCCAAGCGGAUUGUAGAAUUACUUAAAACUGCCCUGGCUAACGAAGCAGACCCAUCGUCACAAAAUCGAGCCCGAUGUUGACUGGGAAAUGGCGGCAGACUACAAUGGAGAAGAUGAGGAUGCAGGAAUAGUUGUCCCUGAAUUUGAGUGCCCUUUGACUCCAGAAGACCUGUCUGAAAUUCAAUCAUUACUUGAGGAAACUGAUCCAGAAACUCCAGUCAGGGAAAUUUACCUUCUUUGUCGUGAGUAUGUAGCUGCAAGAUGUAGC